AUGGCCUCUGCACCCAUCUCGAUGCUUGCGAUGCUCUUCACAUUGAGUGGGCUGAGAGCUCAGUCAGUGGCUCAGCCGGAAGAUCAGGUCAACGUUGCUGAAGGGAAUCCUCUGACUGUGAAAUGCACCUAUUCAGUCUCUGGAAACCCUUAUCUUUUUUGGUAUGUUCAAUACCCCAACCGAGGCCUCCAGUUCCUUCUGAAAUACAUCACAGGGGAUAACCUGGUUAAAGGCAGCUAUGGCUUUGAAGCUGAAUUUAACAAGAGCCAAACCUCCUUCCACCUGAAGAAACCAUCUGCCCUUGUGAGCGACUCCGCUUUGUACUUCUGUGCUGUGAGAGACA